CGGGGAGCUGCGGCUGCGGGGGGAGGGGAGGGCGCCGGAGCCGGGCAGGGCGGAGAGAUGCGCCAGCGGACUUCUAUUUGGAACUGAGUCCGACAGCUCAGGACUGGCUGCUCAAACUCCACAAUUUAAUGAAAAAUCUCAGAUGAUGACUCAGAAAACCUCUAAUGAUCUGAGGAAUAUAUUAAGGGAUUCCAGAGUCAAAGGCUGAUCAUGGAGGGCAUUGAUGAGGGAAGACUUCAGGAUGCUGCCUCCUGAGAAGCUGUUGUGUAGCGAGCCUU
rnacentral:lncRNA from 10 species